rnacentral:rRNA from 1 species
GGGGUGAGAGGCUUAACAAAUCUGGAGAUAGCUGGUUCUCCCCGAAAACUGGAGAUAGCUGGUUCUCCCCGAAAACUAUUGAGGUAGUGCCUUGCGCAUGAGCUUCUGGGGGGUAGAGCACUGUUAUAGCUAGGGGGACAUGGCGUCUUACCAAACUAUGGCAAACUCCGAAUACCAGAAAGCUUCGCGCAGGAGACAGAGCACCGGGUGCUAACGUCCGGACUCAAAAGGGAAUCAACCCAGACCGCCAGCUAAGGUCCCUAAUAUCAGCUAAAGUGGAAAACGAAGUGGAAAGGCUAAAACAGUCAGGAAGUUGGCUUAGAAGCAGCCAUCCUUCAAAGAAAGCAGCCAUCCUUCAAAGAAAGCGUAAUAGCUCACUGAUCGAGUCCUUCCGCGCGGAAGAUGUAACGGGGCUAAGUUGAUAACCGAAGCUGCGGAUUCAUACUUUGAGUAUGAGUGGUAGGGGCUAAGUUGAUAACCGAAGCUGCGGAUUCAUACUUUGAGUAUGAGUGGUAGGGGAGCGUUCUGUAAGCCUGCGAAGGUGGAUCGUAAGGUCUGCUGGAGGUAUCAGAAGUGCGAAUGCUGACAUGAGUAACGAUAAAGCGGGUGAAAAGCCCGCUCGCCGCAAACCCAAGGUUUCCUGCUCUACGUUAAUCGGAGCAGGGUGAGUCGGUUCCUAAGGCCAGGCUGAGAAGCGUAGCUGAUGGAAAUCAGGUUAAUAUUCCUGAACCGGCGUUGAAUGCGAUGGGGUGACGGAGCAGCCAGAGUGGACCGGGUGUUGGAUGUCCCGGCUUCCGAGCGAUGGGUGCCUGCAGGCAAAUCCGCAGGCGUAUACCCAGGACGAAGGAUCGGGC